rnacentral:lncRNA from 1 species
GAGCGGAGGAAGGGGAAGGCGGUGGUCGUCGUUCGAGUGGCCUCCUCAGGGUCAGAGUUGAGAAGGGGUGGUGGCUGCUCCUGCCUCCUCCGGAUCCUAGGGCCUGGACCAGCUUGUUCUGAUGCACUGGGUCGCGGUAGCAGAUAAACCAUGGGAACAGCUCUCCUUCCCUCUGCCUUUGAAUUUGUGUGGGGGGCCAGUGUGAGCAGUGAGUGCCCUCACCGGAUGCCCAGGUCCCAGAUGGGUCGCGUUGCACUGGCUCCUCCAAUGUGACUGUCAGGUCUGUUUCCUCUUCGCGACCCCACCUCGCCCCCCACCCCCCAGGUCGCUAGGGGGGCUGCAGCAGGCACAUUUCUGCCCUGCCUGUUUGGGAGUCCUGGCAGAGCCUUCUUGCAGGUCACAACCCGCCUUCUUGGGGGUUCCAGCUUGAGGGGGAGAGGGGGAGCAGCAAGGUCUCAAAUAUGCCCCUGAGGCUUCUGCUUGCCGUCCUGAUUCUCUGCAACUGAGCCUGUGGGGCAGACCCUUGGCUCUGGUCCCUGGGCAGCUCCUCUCGGUUGGUUGUCCCCACUAACACACACAGAUCUCAUACUUGGGUGGAUGAUGGAUAAGGUUGGUCCCUGGGGAAACGCUAGAAAUUGGAUCACUUGGUCUACCCAGUCUUGGAUAGUGAACGGAGCCUCCUGUGUGGACGGAAGCCCAAGAGGGUUGGACCAACCUCCAGCCCAGCCCUGGGUCCAGGUUGAGGUGGGUUUCAUCAUUAAAUGCUUCCUGCAGGUAAGGUUCCAGCUGUCCCCACUCCCAGGAGCAAGCUGUUAGGCUGGGUCCUGUCCACUUCUCUCUGGGUCUGUCUGUUACCUCCUGAGUACCCAUCAGCCCUUUGCCCUGGAUUUUGGACUCCCCAGGCCUUACCUGCAGGUCUUGAGCACAGCUAGUUCUGGACCUAUUCUAUCUGCCUUGUUAGAUCAUGUCCACCCUUCUUGGAGCCUGCUCUCUGUGGCUCCCCCAGCACAAGAGCCUUCAGGCUUCUUAAGUAAGUGGACCUUGUAGGUGCAUAUGGGUUCCAUGUGGAGCCAAACCCCUGCCUAUGUAUUUCAGUAAAUUCUAAGGAUUGCCCUUGGAGUCACCUCCAUGCUCCUCACAGACCGCAAACAUAGCUCCAAGGAUCCACUGCUGUCAGGGUUGGUUUGUGCAUAUAUGUGUGUGUGUGUGUCACUGCAGAUAGGCUGUUCUAGAAUCCACUUGGGCUGCAGUUCCAGCUACCAGAGGUACAGAAUUUCCCAGCCAUUCCACAGCCCCUGGUCACUCACACCCUCCUGGAGGCCUGUGGUCUGCCUGUCUCCAUUCCCCUCCUCUUUACCACUGUGCACAUGCAGCCUUGUACCUUCUCCCUAACUCAGCACCCAAUAUGCACUUUUUCAACAGGGUAUCUCUGCUCCCUAGGAUCUGAUCUUUAUUUUCUUGCAGCCCAAGCUGACCUUCCCAAACUCAUUCUCCUCAUAGUUCUUGAAAGUGUUCCCUCUUUUCAGCUCCUGUAAUUGGCCCCACUUCCUCCUACAAGGUGUUCUGAGUCACUCUUUAUCUGCCAACCAAGGAAUAGUCAGUUCACCGGUAGUUAAGGACAAGCCCUGUAGAGACUGAGUUGCACUGGCGGAAACACUGGGCAUGUGGAUCUAAAUGGCACAUGAGUCCUUCCAGCGCUGCUCCCAGGAGUCCCUCACUGGCAUAAGGCCUAUUGUUAAGGUCAUUUAGGACCACGUCUUCUAAGCAGCACCCACAGAGUGUCACCACUGUGGUACCCUAUUCCCGGCCCAGCUCUGACCUCCUAUUGUCCUCUUGGUCAGAACCAAGAAUUUCCUCCUCUGCUUCAGGGACCCCAAAGCAGGUGCCUCAGAGGGUCCUACUCCCCUUCCUCACUUUCCACCUUGCUCUGCCUCCAACCCUGUUUCUGGCUCACAUGCUCCCCACCCUCCUGCUCUGGUUAUCUCUCCAGAAUCUCUGAGCUCCUUCCACUGGGCCAGAACCCUCUCUCAGAAUGUCAAGCUCUUGAACUCCCACCUCCUCCAAGAAGCUUUUUUGAUAGAUUGGAAGGGACCUAAUACUCUUUCUGACUUCAGCCUUUCCAGCCUUUUCCCAUCAGCAACAGUGGCUACAUAACAACUUGGUUAAGGGCUGGGCUCUGGGUCUAAGAUGUGCAAGAUGGAUAUGGAUGGAAUUUUAAAGACAAGCAGACAAGCUAAUCAAAGAGAUCCAGAAAGAGUAACAACAUUGCUGUUGUAUAUAAGCCGGUGGCAUUGAGAGCUGAGAGGGAGGGUUAUUAUGUUUCUGCAGGGGGAGCCCAAGGGGAAUAAGCCUAGUGAAACCAGAAAGACUUCAUGGAGGAGGUGGGCUUCAUAGAAGGUUGGUGGCUUUCCCACAUUUGCAAGUGUACUCUUCUGGUUAGGUUAUGUUUGGGUUCAUAUUCUGAGAUUCAUCUAUCUUCAUUAUAAUAGUAUCUCUGUGUUGCUUCUCAUCUCUCCAUCUCCCUUAUGUUCCUCUGGGGCAGUGCUGGUUGUGUCAGACUUCCUUAGAUGGGAAAGCCCCUGAGGCCAGUCUCCUUGUCUGUCUUCAUUGCUCUGUAGGUUACCUAGAACAGUGCCUAUUCAGAUUACUGGUUAUUCCUGAAGGUUCUUUAAGGCAAAUACUCUAGGCCCAGACCAAGAACUGGAGGGCCUAGACUGAGGUUUUAGCCUGGAUAGGAUCUGGCCUUAUUGAUGAGUGCAUCCCAUCAGAUUCACCAGAGAUGCUCCUCUCACUCACCCAACCUGGGCAGGUGGGCCCCAUCUUUUAAGAGAACAUCUCCGGACAAUGCUGCUCACACUUUGCCUCCCUUUUGCUCUUCUUAUCUCCCUUCUGAGAAGCCAUAGUCUGGGAGGCAGGACACGGGAGUCCUAGUCUAUGGCUGCCAGUUGUAUGACCUUGGGGAAGUAAUUUCAGCUCUCUGGGACUCGGUUUCAUCAUAUUAAAAUGCAAGGGUUCUACGGAUUUGACUCUUAUUAUCAGAUAAAAAUGAAUAUUAAAAGAACAAGAUAACAUUUUAGGAAUUGGACUAGAGGAGGAUUCCUAAAGCCUCUUUCAACUCCACAGUUCUGAUUCUAAACAAAAUCUGUCCUGUGAAUCUGUUUCACUCUCCAGCUCCAGCCCUGUCUGCUUCUCCCUAAUCUGUUUCUGUCUGAUGGGCUCAGUCUUUGUGUGCACAGCAUCCAUGUGAGGCCUGCACUUCUGCGGUUCACCCCAGGAGAUGAAGGGGAGGGGAGCUUAGGCUCUCAGCAAUGUAAAUCUCCCUAGGUCCCUCCAAGCUUUAGAGGGGCCCCUGAAAGGUGAGAAGGCAAAGAAGAGGAGGGCAAGAUGGCUGAGGCCCAGGAUAUCCCCAGUAAACAUCAAAGGCCCCAGAAACCAAGGUCAUUGCACCUCCCUGUAGGGGCCCCUACAAGGAGGCUAAUGAUGACACAGGUUCUUAAAACAGCCAGGAUGGAGACCCAGCCUGGGCAUCUGAGUGCCUGGAUCCUGCUGCCCCCCCCCCCACCCUGGCACCCCCAACUCCCUUGCCCAUCAGUCUCAGCUCCUGAGGUGUGCAGAGGGGGUGGGUAUGCACGAGCCCAGACUUCUCUCCCUCUCCUGAGGACCUUACCCCAGGGGAGAAGUGGGUGGCUAAAACAAAGGAGGGGAGCAGAACCCCUCUACAGAUAACAGUGGAGGGGGGAGGGGGUAAGCAGAGAGAAGAGAGGAAUUGACAGAGGAGGUGCUGCUAGCUGUCAGGAGGGAGACCCAAAUUCUCAUGUCUUCCCAUUUCGCAGGCUGUUUGCUAGAAGGACUUAAUUAAGGAGCCCAAAUAUAGUUUCUUUUGAACAGUGAAUAGGGCUGGGAGCACAGAUGAGGAAUGUGAUGCUCUGGGGUGGGGAGAGAAGGGACCAAUGCUGAGAUGCUGGAGGGCCCAGGGUGAAGGGGACAGAGAAGACAGGGGUGAGCUGGUGACUCCUUUUCCCUGCCUUAAGCUCUGCUGCUUUCCUUGAUGGAAGGGGGGCCAUUUCUUCCUUUCCCAUCCUCUGUCCUGAUCUCCCUCCAACUCCCUGGCUCCUGCCUUCACCUCCUUUACUGUCCCCUGAGAACAGCUCUCUCUGUCCAGUCCUCCCAGCACUCACCAGAAGCUUUAAGUCUUGGUUCACCUUCUGCCUCCACCAAGCCCCCUUUUUGCCUCCUCCCUUUCGUCCCCCACUCCUUCUCCUCCCAGGCCCCGCUGGCGCCCAGCAUAGCACUACAGAUGUAGGAGCAGAUCAAGAAGGGUGGGGGUGGUAGCUGUUGCUUUUCUGGGAUAUUCUUAGCCUGUCUGGGGGCUGGAGCUGGAAUCAGCGUUUCCAUCUCAACCAGGCAGGUGGCUGCCAGAAACUGCCACUGUGACUGGGUCUUCAUCUGGUUCCAUAUCCCUUAUCCUGUCCCUUCCUCCUCUAUAUUGAUUUCAUCGAUGAACACAGACCCUCUGAGAGUCCAGCCUUCCCACCCUUGUGCCCUAGAUGGAAGGUUUCCUCUGCCUAUCAGGCAUAGCCCCAGGAAGGUGUGCAAACCUCACUGGAGGCUCUGCGGGGAAAGAAGGGCCUUCGAGAACUCUAGCUCAGAUGCUCCCUAGAGUGGAACACAGCCCUCUCCUCUCUGCCCCCAGGCCCUCUUCUUUCAUCUGCCCCCAGCAACCCCUGCAUGGUACUCAGUCCCCAGACUGUAUUCACCACCAUGAAGGCCUUUCUUAUCUUGAUUUACAGGAAUCACUCAGGGGCCCUAGAGUUUCAGAAGCUGCCUCCUGAAAGCGGCUGAACCCUGGAGUCCAGGCCUCCUUUGGGCCAGAACAAGGGGCUCACUGACCCAGAUCUCUCCCCACAUCUUUUUUUUUUUGAGACAAAGUCUCACUCUUUUGCCCAGGCUAGAGUGCAGUGGCAUGAUCUUCACUCAUUCCUGGGCUCAAGGGAUCCUCCCACCUCAGCCUCCCAAGUAGUUGGGACCACAGGCAUGCAUCACCAGGCCUGGCUAAUUUUUGUACUUUUUGUAGAGAUGGAGUUUCACCAUGCUGCCCAGGCUGGUCUCUAACUCCUGGGCUCAAGCAGUCUGCCCACCUCAGCCUCAAAGUGUUAGGAUUACAGGCAUGAGCCACCUCGCCCAGCCUUCUCAGAUGCCCUUAUCAGUAGAGGGAGGGGCAAAGAAGAAAUCUCACUCAUUCACAAAUCGCACAAAAAAUGUUUGUCACCUUAAGAGGGACAGACAGUGCAGGGUCUCCUAUGUGGGUUCUGAGGUCAUUCGGUCUAUGUUCAAAUCCAGCCCCUCCACUUAUGACCUGGGGCCCUUGGGGCAAGUUUCUUAAUUCUUCUGAGGUCUAUAAAAGUGGACCAUACAAGGUGCAGUAGGAAGAGAUCACCAUCCACAGUCGGGCUGAGGCUGAAAGCACGUACCAGAUCAAGUAUGAGGAGCUGCAGACGCUGGCUGGGAAGCAUGGGGAUGACCUGCGUUGUGCAAAGACAGAUCUCCGAGAUGAACCAGAACAUCAGCAGGCUCCAGGCUGAGACUGAGGGCCUCAAAGGCCAGGGGGCUUCCCUGGAGGCCGCCAUCGCAGAUGCCGAGCAGUGGGGGGAGCUGGCCAUUAAAGAUGCCAACACCAAGCUGUCUGAGCUGGAGGCCGCCAUGCAGCGGGCCAAGCAGGACAUGGCACGCAGCUGGGUGAGUACCAGAAGCUGGCCCUGGACAUCGAGAUCGCCACCUACAGGAAGCUGCUGGAGGGCGAGGAGAGCCGUCUGGAGUCUGGGAUGCAGAACGCUGGAAUGCUAUGGCGUGAUCUCGGCUCACCGCAACCUCCACUUCCCAGGUUCUAGCGAUUCUCCUGCCUCGGCCUCCCGAGUAGCUGGGAUUACAGUCUUGCUGAGGCUGGAAUGCAGUGGUGUGAUAAUGGCUCACUACAGCCUCAACCUCCUGGACUCAAGUGAUCCUCCCACCUCAGCCUCCUGUGCAGCUGGGACCACAGGCAUACACCACCAUGCCCAGCUAAUUUAGAGCCACUCUCCUGAUGCUCAUUAGCAAGCCAGCCUCUGGCCCCUCCUAGGCUUGGUGAUAUCACCCCUCACCUGUCGCAGCUCCUGCCUCUCUCUUCCCAAAAACCUCUGCAGCUUUCACUUCCCCAGCAUGAUCUUAGUUUAGGCUUUCACAAAAGACUGGAAGAGCAGUGGCCUGGAAGCAACAUCUGAAAUAUCAACUUUUUUGUGACCAGAGACACCAAGGGGGAUUGGCAAGAGGAAAAGAUGGAGUCGGAGGCUCCAGGCUCAGUCCUUGGAGCUCUUCUCUCUGUAUCCUCUUUCUAGGUGAAAUUCACCCAUAUGUUGAUGACAUUCAAAUUUACGUCUCCAACCUGGAUCUCUCUUUUAAACACCAGACCUACUUGAGAUCUCCACUUGGAUGUAUUAUAGGCAUUUCAACAUGGCCAAAACCAACUCCUGAUACUCCCUCCCCACUUGCUCCUGCUGCUGCUCCCAUCUCCGUUAACAGUAAUUCUAGUUUACUAAAUCUCAGAUGAAUGUUUUGGAGUUAUCUUUGACUCCUCUUUUUAUUUCACGCCCAUAUUUAAUGCAUCAGCAAAUCUGGAUGGUUCUGCCUGCAAAAUAUAUCCAGAAUUCAACCACUGCUCACUACCUCCUUUGCCUCCACCCUGGCCCAAGCCACCACUAUCUCUUGCUUGGUUUAUUGCAAUAGCCCCCUAACGGUUCUUCCUACUUCUUCCCUACCUGCAGUGCUUUCUCAAAAUGGUAGAUAGAGUGGUCCUGUUAAAAUGAAAGCCAGAUCAUGUCACUCUUCUGUUUAACACCCUCCAACGGCUCCCAUCUCUGGUAGAGGAAAAUCCCAAGUCUUUACUAUGACCUACAAGGGCCUAUUGGUAGAUUAAAGAUAGUCACAAAUUAUUUGACACUCUUCCCAUUGAAAGGUAUAUUGCUAUCUCCCUUUCCAUGACUUCUUUGACCAAUGAAAUAUGGCAGAAGUGGCCAGUCGCGGUAGCUCAUGUCUGUAAUUCCAGCAUUUUGGGAGGCCAAGGCAGGUGGAUCCCUGAGGUCAGGAGUUCGAGACCAGCCUGGCCAACGUGGUGAAACCCCGUCUCUACUAGAAAUAUGGCAGAAGUGCCACUGUGUCUGUUUCUGUGUCCAGGCCUUAGAAGACUGGCAUUUUCUAUUUCCUGUCUCUUGAAACACUUGCUCUUGGAACCUUCAGACACCAUGUAAGAAAUCCAGCUAUUCUAAUAGAGACCACAUGGAGAGGCCCUGAGACUACAUGGAGAGGAAGAGGGGCCUAGCUGAACCCAGCCUUCCAGCUAUCUCCCCCAGGCACCAAACAUGAGAGUGAAACCACGUGGAAUCCUACAGACCAACCCAUCUGCCAGUGAACAUCAGAGUGACCUUAUUUGAUGCUAGUAGAGCAGAAAAAAAUGCCCAGUUGAAUUUUGUCCAAAUUCCUGAUCCACCAAUUGUGAGAUACAAAAAGGUGGUUGUUUUAAGCCACAAAACUUGAGAUAGUUUCUCAUGCAGAAAUAGAGAACCAAACCAGCUAAUCCGACCUUGCCCCCUUCCAUCAUCUUCAUGACCUCAUUUACUGCCUUUUUUUUCCCUCAUGCCUCUCUAGUCAUCGCUGCUUCCUUGCAGUUCCUCAAAUCCUCCAGACCAGCUUCUGCCCAGGACUUUUGCAUGUGCUGUUCCCAGUGUACAUUCUUCCACCUGCACAUAAAUAAAGCAGUGUAAACUGUAAUUACUGUUUUGAGCCCUACUUUUUUCAGUUUAUAUAAAUCUUUCUGUUGGAAUAGUCUACUAAAACAUUUUUUUUUGAGACAGUGUCUUGCUCUGUUGCCCAGGCUGGAGUACAGUGACACAAUCAUGGCUCACUGCAACCUCACCUCCUGAGCUCAAACAAUCCUCCCUCUUUAGCCUCCUGAGUAACUGGGACUACAGGGGCGCAUCACCACAUCCAGUGAAUUUUUUAAAUUUUUUUGUAGACACAGGGUCUCACUAUGUUGCCCAGGCUGGUCUCAAACUUCUGGGCUCAAGCAAUCCUCCCACCUUAGCCUCCCAAAGUGCUGGAAUUAUAGUUGUGAGCCACUGUACGUGGCCUAAAACAUUUUUUAGUGGACACAGUGUUCAUUUGUGUGGCUAUUUGUUUUACCAACAUUUAAUUAUGAAAACUUUCAAAUAUACAGAAAAAUUGAGAGAUUUGUACAGUGAAAACACAUCUAUUUGCCACCUCAAGUCUAUAAUCAACCUUUUACUAUAUUUGCUUUAUCACAUAUCUAUUCCUCUAUCCAACUUGCUCUUUUAAAUACAUUUCAUCCUAUUCAACAUAGUACUGGAAGUCCUAGCCAGAGUAAUCAGUCAAGAGAAAGGGAAAAAAGGCAUCCAAAUAGGAGGAGAGGAAGUCAAGCUAUCUCUCUUUGCAGAUGAUUUUAUACCUAGAAAACCCCAUAGUCUCUGCCCAAAAGCUCCUAGAUCUAUAAACAUCUUCAGCAAAGUUUCAGUAUACAAAGUCAAUGUACAAAAAUCAGUAGCAUUUCUAUACACCAACAACAGUCAAGCUGAGAGCCAAAUCAUGAAUGCAAUCCUAUUCACAAUAACCACAAAAAAUACCUAUUAAUACAGCUAACCAAGGAGGUAAAAAAUCUGUCCAACAAGAGUUACAAAACACAGCUGAAAGAAAUCAGAGAUGACACAAACAAAUGGAAAAAUAUUCCAUGCUCAUGGACUGGAAGAAUCAAUAGUGUUAAAAUGCUCAUACUGCCCAAAGCAAUUUGCAGAUUCAAUGCUAUUCCUAUCAAACUACCAAGCACAUUUUCACAGAAUUAGAAAAAAAAAUAUUCUAAAAUUCAUAUGGAACCAAAAAGAGACCAAAUAGCCAACACAAUCCUAAGCAAAAAGAACAAAGCUGAAGGCAUCAUACUACCUGGCUUCUAACUAU